rnacentral:rRNA from 1 species
UCCCGGUCAAAUCAUUUGAGUUUAGCCUUGCGGCCGUACUCCCCAGGCGGAGGACUUACCGCGUUAGCUACGACACUGCGAGGCUUACCCUCUCAACGUCUAGUCCUCAUCGUUUAUGGCGUGGACUACCAGGGUAUCUAAUCCUGUUUGCUCCCCACGCUUUCGUGCCUGAACGUCGGUGCUGGACCAGGAAGUCGCUUUCGCCACUGAUGUUCCUUCCGAUAUCUACGCAUUUCACCGCUACACCGGAAAUUCCACUUCCCUCUUCCGCACCCUAGCUACGCAGUCUCGAAUGCAAUUCCCAGGUUGAGCCCGGGGCUUUCACACCCGACUUAUGUAACCGUCUACGCACGCUUUACGCCAAGUAAUUCCGAUUAACGCUUGCACCCUCUGUAUUACCGCGGCUGCUGGCACAGAGUUAGCCGGUGCUUUUUCUGUGGGUUAGGUCAAGACCCAAGGGUGUUAUCCCUAGGCUUUUCAUCCCCACUAAAAGUGCUUUACAACCCGCAGGCCUUCUUCACACACGCGGCGUCGCUGGAUCAGGGUUGCCCCCAUUGUCCAAUAUUCCCCACUGCUGCCUCCCGUAGGAGUCUGGGCCGUGUCUCAGUCCCAGUGUGGCUGGUCGUCCUCUCAGACCAGCUACGGAUCGUCGCCUUGGUAGGCCGUUACCCUACCAACUAGCUAAUCCGACUUCGGCUCAUCCAAUAGCGCGAGGCCUUGCGGUCCCCCGCUUUCCCACCUUUCUAAUGAAGAAAGGGGGCGUAUGCGGUAUUAGCCAACCUUUCGGCUGGUUAUUCCCCACUAAAGGGCAGAUUCCGAAGCAUUGCUCACCCGUUCGCCGCUCGUCAGCACGUAUUGCUACGCCUGUUACCGCUCGACUUGCAUGUGUUAGGCACGCCGCCAGCGUUCAAUCUGAGCCAUAAUCAAACUCU